GGGAACGAUCCCGGGCGACCGUACCGAGAACCGUGACAGGUUCCCUGGGUGAGCAGCCUAAGGCGGUGGGGUAUAACCUGGCCGAGGGAAAUCGGCAAAUUGGCCCCGUAUCUUCGGUAGAAGGGGUGCCUGCGG
rnacentral:rRNA from 1 species